UUAACUGAAACCAAAAUUAGAGGUAUAUUACUGUUAAUAAUAAAAAUGAAUAUUAAUAUUCCAGUUAAG
rnacentral:tRNA from 1 species